rnacentral:rRNA from 1 species
UAAGGAAUAUUGGGCAAUGGACGCAAGUCUGACCCAGCCAUGCCGCGUGAAGGAUGAAUGUCCUAUGGAUUGUAAACUUCUUUUAUGCAGGAAAAAUAUCCCGGUCGUGAACCGGGACUGAUGGUACUGUAUGAAUAAGCAUCGGCUAACUCCGUGCC